GCAAUCUCAGACGACGACGGGUAGCCGGCCUGAGAGGGCGACCGGCCACACUGGGACUGAGACACGGCCCAGACUCCUACGGGAGGCAGCAGUGGGGAAUAUUGCACAAUGGGCGAAAGCCUGAUGCAGCGACGCAGCGUGAGGGAUGACUGCCUUCGGGUUGUAAACCUCUUUCAGUAGGGAAGAAGCGAAAGUGACGGUACCUGCAGAAGAAGCGCCGGCUAACUACGUGCCAGCAGCCGCGGUAAUACGUAGGGCGCAAGCGUUAUCCGGAAUUAUUGGGCGUAAAGAGCUUGUAGGUGGCUUGUCGCGUCUGCCGUGAAAACCCGAGGCUCAACCUCGGGCGUGCGGUGGGUACGGGCAGGCUAGAGUGUGGUAGGGGAGACUGGAACUCCUGGUGUAGCGGUGAAAUGCGCAGAUAUCAGGAAGAACACCGAUGGCGAAGGCAGGUCUCUGGGCCAUUACUGACACUGAGAAGCGAAAGCAUGGGUAGCGAACAGGAUUAGGUACCCUGGUAGUCCAUGCCGUAAACGUUGGGCACUAGAUGUGGGGGACAUUCCACGUUUUCCGCGUCGUAGCUAACGCAUUAAGUGCCCCGCCUGGGGGAGUACGGA
rnacentral:rRNA from 1 species